rnacentral:rRNA from 1 species
GAUGAACGCUGGCGGCGUGCCUAAUACAUGCAGGUCGAGCGAACGGACGAGAAGCUUGCUUCUCUGAUGUUAGCGGCGGACGGGCGAGUAACACGUGGAUAACCUACCUAUAAGACUGGGAUAACUUCGGGAAACCGGAGCUAAUACCGGAUAAUAUUUUGAACCGCAUGGUUCAAAAGUGAAAGACGGUCUUGCUGUCACUUAUAGAUGGAUCCGCGCUGCAUUAGCUAUUUGGUAAGGUAACGGCUUACCAAGGCAACGAUGCAUAGCCGACCUGAGAGGGUGAUCGUCCACACUGGAACUGAGACACGGUCCAGACUCCUACGGGAGGCAGCAGUAGGGAAUCUUCCGCAAUGGGCGAAAGCCUGACGGAGCAACGCCGCGUGAGUGAUGAAGGUCUUCGGAUCGUAAAACUCUGUUAUUAGGGAAGAACAUAUGUGUAAGUAACUGUGCACAUCUUGACGGUACCUAAUCAGAAAGCCACGGCUAACUACGUG